rnacentral:rRNA from 1 species
GAUGAACGCUGGCGGCGUGCCUAAUACAUGCAAGUCGAGCGAACAGAUGAGGAGCUUGCUCCUCUGACGUUAGCGGCGGACGGGUGAGUAACACGUGGAUAACCUACCUAUAAGACUGGGAUAACUUCGGGAAACCGGAGCUAAUACCGGAUAAUAUAUUGAACCGCAUGGUUCAAUAGUGAAAGACGGUUUUGCUGUCACUUAUAGAUGGAUCCGCGCCGCAUUAGCUAGUUGGUAAGGUAACGGCUUACCAAGGCAACGAUGCGUAGCCGACCUGAGAGGGUGAUCGGCCACACUGGAACUGAGACACGGUCCAGACUCCUACGGGAGGCAGCAGUAGGGAACCUGCCGCAAAGGGCGAAAGCCUGACGGAGCAACGCCGCGUGAGUGAUGAAGGUCUUCGGAUCGUAAAUCUCUGUUAUUAGGGAAGAACAAAUGUGUAAGUAACUAUGCACGUCUUGACGGUACCUAAUCAGAAAGCCACGGCUAACUACGUG